AAUUGAAACUUUGAAGUCAUUUAGCCCUUCUAAGGCUAUUGUGGGGUAGCUCAAAACUAUUCUUCAAUUA
rnacentral:tRNA from 1 species